AAAGAGUUAACAGGAAUAGGAAAGAGGGGAGCAUUAGUCUCUUCAUUAUCUUGGAAUCUCUUGAAUCUCUUUGGGCUCAGUAGUCUCUUUGGGUACUUCUGUCUUCCAGCUUCAGAGAGACUAUGCCAGAAAGCUUAUUGGUAUGGGACUUUGCCAAUCCUCCUUAAUUGCUGAAGGGAGAAUAACACCGAGAAGAAGCCAAAAUAAGAGGGAUUGAUAGUUUCCUUCAUGUCCACUGCUCUAGAGACUUUAGGGAAUUUUCCCUUUGGGUAAAAUCUGAGACUCUCCUGUCUGAGCUCAAUCACCUUACUCUCAAUGGGAGAACGCCUUCAUUUUGUAUUGUCUGGUAUCUAACAGUGGCUUGUGUCUAGAAGACCACUGAAGAACCCAUGAAAGAAAGCAUCAAGAGAUCAUUGCUAUGGGAGCAGACAGAUGGACCUGAGUUGGAGGCUUGGAAAAAAAACAAGUUUCUGACUUUCUCCUGAGAUCAGCAGAAGAGAGAAAAAUCUUUUGAAUCUGACUGCUGGCAAUAUCAGUAAAGAAGAUUGAAGACAGACUUCAUCUCUGCACCUGUUUGGAUACAAAUCAACUAAAGAUCCUGGCCCAUUUGAUUGGACUCCUUGUGUGAGAUUUGGCUAUUGGAAAAUUUACUGCUUAGCUUAAUAAGUUAGUUUUAGAUAGUUUAUAGACAUUAGAUUGUAAGAUAACUUGUAGACUUUUUCCUUACCCCUGUUUCUUCUUCUCCUUCC
rnacentral:lncRNA from 1 species